rnacentral:rRNA from 14 species
CGAGAGCAUGCCUGUCUCAGCGUC